GGGUUGUGAGGUUAAGCGACUAAGCGUACACGGUGGAUGCCCUGGCAGUCAGAGGCGAUGAAGGACGUGCUAAUCUGCGAUAAGCGUCGGUAAGGUGAUAUGAACCGUUAUAACCGGCGAUUUCCGAAUGGGGAAACCCAGUGUGAUUCGUCACACUAUCAUUAACUGAAUCCAUAGGUUAAUGAGGCGAACCGGGGGAACUGAAACAUCUAAGUACCCCGAGGAAAAGAAAUCAACCGAGAUUCCCCCAGUAGCGGCGAGCGAACGGGGAGGAGCCCAGAGCCUGAAUCAGUGU
rnacentral:rRNA from 1 species